rnacentral:lncRNA from 1 species
UUACAGUAUGAGUUAUAAAUAUCUUACUUAAAAACUUAAAAGUGCUUAAAUAAUUCCAUAUUUGUCAUUCGAUUAUUGUAUGUUAUUUAUUUGCUAUUAGCAAAGCCUUAUUGUGAUGUUAUUGAGGUACGAGGAGAUUUAAAACCAGAUCAAGGUGCUCGACCUGAAGUCUCAAGAGUUCAAACAAGAAUCAGAGAUGAUGGAGCAAACCAUCACCACUAUGCCAGAUGUUAUAGCGGAGCUACAGUAAGAAAUACUGUAAACAAUAUAUGUUUGACCAUAUAAAUAUUAGACUUCCAUGCUUGUUUUUAUUUGUUGUCUAUUUCAGGGGUUUGUCAAACACUAUGGCGUUCAAACAUGGGACAGUCACAGUAGUGAUGGGUAAUGUGCACAGGGAUAUAGCUUCCUGUCAACAGAGGAAGUCUCAUCACGCACAGAUUCACUCAACGCCGGGCUGUCAUGAAGGACACAGAGGGUAAUCUACAUGAAGCAACUAAAAGCCAAUCUGAAGUUGGCUCAAGAGUACCGAGAGCUGCAGAAAGUUCUGAUGAUUGCCAGACAAGAAGCCGUUUGUGUUUUUGACAUAAGAAACAGAGCAGAGGCCUACAUCCAAGAUCACAAGCAGCUUUCUUUGUUGCAGAAGAGGAUGCACAAAGCCAUGCUAAAAUACUUCAAACGCCGCAGCGUCUACAGCCAGGCAGAGCUGGCCCGCUUCCAGACCCUCUCCAACCAGAACAACCAGAAAAUGAAAGCCCUCCAGAUACCACUCGCAAAAAUUGUCCACCCAUGUAUUCAUGAGGAACCUGAAGGUUGCGGAUUGCAAAAACCAGUUCCACUGAUUUGUCCCUGUGUCUUCCUGAGGAACAAAUGACUGCUUCUAAGCAGCUCUACUGAAGUAUAGAGAUGGGGAGAAGAGUAAAACGAAAUAGAGAAAGCGUGCAAGCCUGUCAUCUCGAAACGCCGCUGCAAGAUUGGGCACUCAGUUCCGGGUUAUGCAAGUUUACACCAGGGAUAGCGUAAUUGACAAUUGCUAACAACAGAGAGCAGGGUGGAGAGUUGUGAAUGGCCAGUAAUAAUUGGAGCGAACGCCCACUGCGCUGCUCUCGGGGGACCGUAAUCCAAGAUCUUGUUUCUGAUAUAAUUGUUAGUCAGAAAAUUUCUGCAUGGCUAGGCCAGCUCAGUUCCCAAGCUGGUUGACAGUGCAAGGCAGUUUAAUAGAAAAACUGGUUGCUGAGGUUUUUUAAAACAGGCACGCACUGAACCCAUGCGCAGGAGUGUGGCACACACCGUUUUUCCCAUUUCUUUGUUUUGUCAUUCUCAAUCUUAUGUCUUGCAAAAUAAGUGUUUCAAAUGUCAGUGUUGCUCUUUCGUAGGAUUAAGGGAAUGGGACAAAGUUUGAUUAGUACAGUAAAUGCCGCAACUAAACCGUUUUAGAGAAAAAAGCAGUGAGUAUAUGUGUAUUCUGACGAAACUAUUAUAUUUUAGCAUGACAUUAUAUGCAGUGCUGUUCAAAAGUUUGGGGUAC